rnacentral:lncRNA from 1 species
UGUUUGUUUACAGGAGGUGAGAUUUGUUUGUGAAGAGAAAGAAAACAAAGUUUUCUUGCGUAUACCAAAGAAGAAGAACACUUCUUCUAUUUUUUCAACUCUUUUUUUGUUGUUGAAGUAUUUACGAGUGAGAUGAGUAUUAUGGUGUAGUGGCUAUGAAGAAGCAGAUAAUAGAUAUACACGAAGAAGAGGAACUUUCUCUCAAGAUAUUGCUUUUUGUUUCAUCUUAACUUUUUUCUUUUUUUAAUGUGGUUUUCUUUGAUUUGGAUUCAGAGAAUGAAAAA